UUAUCGGAGAGUUUGAUCCUGGCUCAGGACGAACGCUGGCGGCGUGCCUAAUACAUGCAAGUCGAGCGGACAGAU
rnacentral:rRNA from 3 species